CACACCAGAAGAGGUGCGAAACUGAGGUAGAAAACGUGAGGAACCACACUUCCUAUGACCGUUUUCGAGGGACGUUAUCGCCGAGAGUAUUUGAUGGUGGGCUUAAAUACUCGGUCACUAAGGUUGAAUCCUUAGGGCUGUCACCUGACGUAUUUGUUAAAUAUAACCUAGUUUAUUAGGCAUUAUUAGCAUUAAGUAAAAGGGUGGAGAGCUUCUGGCUGA
rnacentral:ncRNA from 2 species